rnacentral:rRNA from 1 species
AUUGAACGCUGGCGGAAUGCUUUACACAUGCACGUCGAACGGCAGCACGGACUUCGGUCUGGUGGCGAGUGGCGAACGGGUGAGUAAUGUAUCGGAACGUGCCCAGUCGUGGGGGAUAACGUAGUGAAAAUUACGCUAAUACCGCAUACGAUCUAUGGAUGAAAGCGGGGGAUCGCAAGACCUCGCGCGAUUGGCGCGGCCGAUAUCAGAUUAGGUAGUUGGUGGAGUAAAGGCCCACCAAGCCAACGAUCUGUAGCUGGUCUGAGAGGACGACCAGCCACACUGGAACUGAGACACGGUCCAGACUCAUACGGGAGGCAGGAGUGGGGAAUUUUGGACAAUGGGCGAAAGCCUGAUCCAGCCAUUCCGCGUGCAGGAUGAAGGCCCUCGGGUUGUAAACUGCUUUUGUACAGAACGAAAAGGUUUCUACUAAUACUAGGAGCUCAUGACGGUACUGUAAGAAUAAGCACCAGCUAACUACGUGCCAGCCGCCGCAGUAA